GUGGUUCAAUUCGACGCAACGCGAAGAACCUUACCCAGGCUUGAACAGCGAGUGACCAUCGACGAAAGUCGACUUCCGCAAGGACACUCGUAGAGGUGCUGCAUGGCUGUCGUCAGCUCGUGUCGUGAGAUGUUGGGUUAAGUCCCGCAACGAGCGCAACCCUUGUUUGCUGUUGCCAUCAGGUAAUGCUGGGCACUCUGCAAAGACUGCCGGUGAUAAACCGGAGGAAGGUGGGGAUGACGUCAAGUCAGCAUGGCCUUUAUGUCUGGGGCUACACACGUGCUACAAUGGCCGGUACAAACCGUCGCAAAACCGCAAGGUGGAGCUAAUCGGAGAAAGCCGGUCUCAGUUCGGAUAGCAGGCUGCAACUCGCCUGCUUGAAGUUGGAAUCGCUAGUAAUCGCGGAUCAGCACGCCGCGGUGAAUACGUUCCCGGGCCUUGUACACACCGCCCGUCACAUCACGAAAGCCGGUUGUACUAGAAGUCGCCAUACCAACCCGCAAGGGAGAGAGGCGCCUAAGGUAUGGUCGGUGAUUGGGGUG
rnacentral:rRNA from 1 species